GAUGAAGAACGUAGUGAAAUGCGAUAAGUAAUGUGAAUUGCAGAAUUCAGUGAAUCAUCGAAUCUUUGAACGCACAUUGCGCCCCUUGGUAUUCCAUGGGGCAUGCCUGUUCGAGCGUCAUUUGUACCCUCAAGCUCUGCUUGGUGUUGGGUGUUUGACUCGCGGUUCUGCGCAGACUCGCCUUAAAACAAUUGGCAGCCGGCUUGUUAGCCUGGAGCGCAGCACAUAUUGCGCCUCUUGCUAGCGACUGCCCGGCACCCAUCAAGCCCAUUUAUUUGCUCUUGACCUCGGAUCAGGUAGGGAUACCCGCUGAACUUAAGCAUAUCAAUAAGCGGAGGA
rnacentral:misc_RNA from 1 species